GACGAACGCUGGCGGCGUGCUUAACACAUGCAAGUCGAACGGAAAGGCCUGCUUUCCCUUGUGGAUUGCGGGUACUCGAGUGGCGAACGGGUGAGUAACACGUGAGUGAUCUGCCCCCAACUUGGGUAUAAGCCUGGGAAACUGGGUCUAAUUCCCGAUAGGACUGCAGGGUGGUGCCUGUGGUGGAAAACGAUUUUCUAGUGGUUGGGGAAGAGCUCGCGGCCUAUCAGCUUGUUGGUGGGGUAAUGGCCUACCAAGGCGGCGACGGGUAGCCGGCCUGAGAGGGUGGACGGCCACAUUGGGACUGAGAUACGGCCCAGACUCCUACGGGAGGCAGCAGUGGGGAAUAUUGCACAAUGGGCGGAAGCCUGAUGCAGCGACGCCGCGUGGGGGAUGACGGCCUUCGGGUUGUAAACUCCUUUCGACCGCGAGGAAGCCACCUGGUUGGAAGGGUGGUGACGGUAGUGGUAGAAGAAGCACCGGCUAACUACGUG
rnacentral:rRNA from 1 species